rnacentral:rRNA from 1 species
CACAUGCAAGUCGAACGAACCCUUCGGGGUUAGUGGCGCACGGGUGCGUAACGCGUGGGAAUCUGCCCUUUGCUUCGGAAUAACAGUUAGAAAUGACUGCUAAUACCGGAUGAUGUCUUCGGACCAAAGAUUUAUCGGCAAAGGAUGAGCCCGCGUAGGAUUAGGUAGUUGGUGGGGUAAAGGCCUACCAAGCCGACGAUCCUUAGCUGGUCUGAGAGGAUGAUCAGCCACACUGGGACUGAGACACGGCCCAGACUCCUACGGGAGGCAGCAGUGGGGAAUAUUGGACAAUGGACGCAAGUCUGAUCCAGCAAUGCCGCGUGAGUGAUGAAGGCCUUAGGGUUGUAAAGCUCUUUUACCAGGGAUGAUAAUGACAGUACCUGGAGAAUAAGCUCCGGCUAACUCCGUGCCAGCAGCCGCGGUAAUACGGAGGGAGCUAGCGUUGUUCGGAAUUACUGGGCGUAAAGCGCACGUAGGCGGUUACUCAAGUCAGAGGUGAAAGCCCGGGGCUCAACCCCGGAACUGCCUUUG